rnacentral:tRNA from 1 species
GGACAUACAGCUCAGUGGCAGAGUGCAUGCUUAGCAUGCAUGAGGGCCUGGGUUCAAUCCCCAGUACUUCCA